GGUUUAACACACGUUUGUGUACAGAGUGUGAGGUGGGGGUUUAACACGUUUGUGUACAGAGUGUGAGGUGGGGGUUUAACACACGUUUGUGGGGGUUUAACACAUUUGUGUACAGAGUGUGAGGUGGGGUUUAACACGUUUGUGUACAGAGUGUGAGGUGGGGGUUUAACACGUUUGUGUACAGAGUGUGAGGUGGGGGUUUAACACGUUUGUAAAAGUGUUGCUGGCUGUAACACGACUCUCACUGUCACUGAGAUUCACUGCUGAUGAAGACUGAAACUUUUACACCCACCAAUGCACUUCCUCAUUAUGGGUCACACCCACACUAAUAUUGUCUUUAUACCACUAUCUCUGGUUAACACACACACACACACACACACACACACACACACACACAUGCACACACACACAAGAAACCAAACAUGAAUGAAAAUGAUUUAAAAUCGUGAUGGCGUCUACAGUCAGGUCUGUGAGUAAUGAAUUUUCGUAGUGGGAUAAGAAAUGAAGGAAUCGAGCUGUGAUUGAAGUGUAGACUUUCAGCUUUAAUUCAAGGAGUUCAACAUAAAUAUUGCAUCAACAAUUGAGGCGUUAUGGGCAUUUUUUUACAGGCUCAAAAGUAAUUGGACAGGCUAACAUAAUCAUAAAUAUUAGAACUAUUUUUAAUACUUGAAUGCAAAUCUGUUGCAGUCAUUGACCGAUUGAAGUCUGAAAGCCAUGGACAUCGUCAAAUGUUGAGUUUGAGAUGCUUUACCAGGUCUUUACUGCAGCUGCCUUCAGUUGCUGCUUGUUUGUGGGUUUUUCUGCCUGUAGUUUUGUCUUCAGUAAGUGAAAAGCAGCUCAAGGGGGUGAGGUCAGGUGAUUGACGCUGCCAUUUAAGAACAUACCAUUUCUUUGCCUUAAGAAGCUCUUGGGAUUCUUUCGCAGUACGUUUCGGGAGGUCGUUUUCCAUCUGUACUGUGAAGCGCCGUCCUGUUUCAGUUUUGCAGGAUUCGACUGAAUCUGAGCAGAACGUAUAUCUCGAUACACUACAGAAUUCAUCCUGCUCCUUCUAUCAGCACUCACAUCAUCAGUAAACACCACUGACCCAGUUCCACUGGCAGCAGGGUCUGAAAUUCAGUUUUUCCUCCACCUGCCACAGUGGCUGGUAAAUAUUCAUUUUUACUGUUUGAUAUGAACAAAAAGUUAUUUUUUUACAUUAGCUAAUCUGACCCUCCAAUAAACUAUUAUCUGUGUGCGGGUCGACUGGCUAUUUGUAUUAAAAUUUUAGAAAUUUUAGCAAUAAGGCAUGUAAUGAUUCACACGUUCAGGUUAAGUCAGAGAAUUUCACUGUGCUGAAAUACAUAUGUGAUCAAUAAAAGCUUCUUCCUCUUCUUCAGCUAUCGAAUGCAAAUUCAACUCCAGGCCUUUUAUCUCCUUAAUUUGUCAUGGAAUAACGAGGAAACAGGCCACACCUGGCCAUGAAACACCUGGCCAUGGAACACCUGGCCAUGGAACAUCAGUCAAUUGUCCAAUUACUUUUCAGUCUGUAAAAAUGGAGGGACUCUGUAAAAAAUGCUGUAAUUCUUAAAUGGUUAAUGUAAUAUUUUUGCUGAACCCCUUGAAUUAAAUCUGUAAGUCUACACUUCAAUCACAUCUCGACUGCUUCAUUUCAAAUGUGUACACAGGCAAAAUCAUGAAAAUUGCAUCACUGUCCAAAUACUUAUGGACCUGACUGUAAAUGCAUCAGAAUGCUGCAGUUUCAUUAGAAGUAAGAUAUGUGCAGACUCGGGAGACCAGGAGGCAGGUUUUAAUAAAAUAGAUGGUUUAUUAAGACAACCUGGGCGUUCUAUAGUCUAAACAAAAAUCAGACAAAACAAGCUUUUAUACUGGUGUGUGUGUGUGUGUGUGUGUGUGUGUGUGUGAGAAAGAGGCCCACACAGAUAAUGCAGAUGGUGAAGGUAGGAGAAAAACAUGUACAAGGACAGAACAUCAUGACCCAAGGCACGUGUUCAUGAGUGAAGUGAAGUUACAGAAAUGAAUUUAAUUAAACUGUUCUUAAAAUUAAUUAAAUAAUCCCACAACAUAGUUAUAGCGUCACAAUAACAUUUUGUCAGUAGCUGAAUUUGCAGCGCUCUACACUGCUCUAGUGGAAUAACACCCCGACUGCACUCAGAUGAGAGAGUACAGUUUCUCUUCUUUCUGAAUCUCUUUGUACACCGUAAGAGCAGGAGCGAAUGCUUUGAAAAUAAAAUCUGUACACUUAUCUAUAGGCACUUGAGAUAUAUUAUAUGGAAUCUCCUGUUCGUCAGGUUCUUUAGGACCUAAGAGUAUGGCUCUCUUAAUCUUACACACAAACAUUUGGUAAUGGACCGUGGUCCUAGUUUUGACGGAGGUAUUGUCAUCGGUGAUGAAGAUAAUCUGGCUCUCGGGAGUUAAGUAUUUAUACACCAUGACAUUUUCAGCAGUAAAGCAUGGAUAAUCGCUGUGUUCUGCCAUGUUUAUAAUUGAGAUCUGGUCAAAUAUGUUCUUUAAGUCCUCUUCACGGUUAUUACAUUGUCUCAGUGCCCAGUCACGAAGCCGUUUAUCCUUUUCUUCUUUCUUCUUUUCCUUCUGGUAUUUUGAGUUUGCCCUCUUUUUUGAAGUUUCGAUCCGAUCUUUCACAUCUCCGUUUUUAGCUAGUAUGGCUGUGUCUUUAUUUAGCAUCGAGCUCUCUGUGCCAUUGCUUUCCGUAUGCUCUGAUGCGGAACCUGGACUGUUCUUCUGCAGCUGCGUUGAAAGAAAAGGCCCAGGGUUAACCUGCAUAUUUUCUUGCUCAUUUUGCUGCAUGUGCAUGUUCCCACAUCUGCCUUCUAGUGGGAUUUUGCUUUUAAUGACUGACUCAUUUUGGUGCAGCGAUGCGGAAUGCAUCAGAACAUUUGAUCUUUGAGGUUCCUCCUCCAUCUCGUCAAUGUGUGCACCCUGAAAGUCCGUGCUUCCAAGUCCAUCUUUUAGUGGUGUUUCAUUUUUGGCGAUUGACUGAUUUUGGUGCAGAGACACAUCCUCAUGCCUUGGGUAAUUUGGAACAGAUGAUCUUUGAGGUUCAUCAUCCAUCUCAUCAACUUGUAUUUCCUGCAAAUCCAUGCUUCCAAGUUCAACAUCUAGUGGCGUCUCUUUCUUUGUGAUUCGCUCAUUUUGUUGCAGAGAUUCAUCUUCAUGCCUCACGCUAUUUGGAACAUAUGAUCUUUGAGAUCGCUCUUCCAUCUCAUCAAUGUGUGUAUUCUGCAUGUUCACAGGUUCUUGUGAUGGUGCAUCAGCAUUGACCUCAGGGUCCAUUUGGAUGAAUGAUCCACCAAGGAGCUUUUCAGGGGUUUUGAACUCACUCUCUUUGUCUUUAUUUUCAUGAAUCAUAAUAUCCACGUCUCCAGUGUAUCUGCAAUCUUCAUCUGGCAAUCCGUCAUCAUUUUGUGGUAAAUAGUUGAAACUGACUGCAGAGUAGCUAUUAUUAAGACUUGAGUUUAAUGAAGAUCCAACUCCACUGCUGCUUAAAUCGGUCAUCGCCUCUAUGCACUCAUUAUAAUCAAUGGAGCUUUGAGCUCUGUUUCCUGAUGAGGCAGAGGCACGUUUCUUAAACCACAUGUCAUAUGUCAGUUUAGGAAAUUUUGCGUUCUUUGUUGUGUUGAGAAAUCUUUCAAGUUCCUUAUUUUUCCUGAUAUCAUCAAUAUUGGACGCAUUGAAGCAUAAACUAUUUCUUGGUUCUUUAAGCUUUAAUUCUUUUCUCAAAGCUGCCAUGCCUUCAUCACCAAGUUUUCUCUCCAAGUCACUGAUCAUCUUUUGGCUGAUUUCUGGUUUCGACACCCAUUCUUCCAGUUUGGCGAAGGUGGAUAUCGUCCGGAGAUCUCUUUCAGAUUCUGAUGAAGAUGAUAAAUAAAGUCUCAUUAUCAUUAAGACUAUACACAUUAAGCAAAAUUUUCAUCUGCCUUUACAACAAUUUAUAAAUUUAAUAAAUUGAAAACUUUCAAAAUAUUAACUAUCUGUUGCCGUUUCUUACCAGAAAUCCAACUUGUAAACUUACCGGGAAAUCCUGUAAGAUUAUUAUCUGGUUCAUCCUGACGCCUGAGUCUGGCUCGUUUUUCUGUACAUUUAAAGAUUAAAACAAAAUAUAUAUAUAUAAAAAAAUCAUGAAACAUCUAAAUGACAGAAGUACCAUCUAAAACAGCAUGAGACACAAAGGGCUGUAUUCAGAGUUCAGUUAAGUGAUUUAUUACUAAAAUUGUGCACAUCAGUAUCGAGACCUCAGACUUAAUUGAUAUUCAGCAGUUAAUGUUAGGGGCGGAGUUUGACUAAAAUGUGUCGCAUGUGAUUUUUUCCUUGGAUUUUAUUUCUUGCAUGUUAUCAGCUCAAAUGAGGGGAACUACAUAUCCUGAAUCUUCUGUUUUAGUUAUUUAACAUAGUUCCAGUGCAUAUGACCAUGUCAGCGCCGGUAAAAGAGAACUACAUCCCACCAGCCACUGCAAAUCACAUGACCGUGUCAAGUACCAUUCCUGAUCACUCCCACCUGUUUUGUGGUUCACCGAACUAGCCCUAUUUCAGUUCAGUGAUUUCUGUUUAUUUCCCAAGGAAAUAUUUUGCUGUGUAUUGUAAGCAAACAUUCGAUCUUCAAUGAAACACUGCCGAUUAAUAAAGGUGAUACACUAUCAAAUGACACGCAAUUGAUAUUUUAUAGUAAUUUUCACAAUUGAAAUUAACAACUGCCCCCCCAAAAAAACAAACAAACAAACAAACAAAAAAAACAGGUCAGUCACAUGGAAAAAGUAAAACAAACAAACAAAAAUUUCCAUGGGGUGUACUUAUUUUUUUCACAUGACUGUAUGUGCUGCUGAGUAAUGAGUGUGAAAGCCAUUUUGUUCAAUGAAACCUGUGAUUAUUGUGUUAAUUACAACUAGGACAUGCAACAAUAUAUUGGCAAUAUGCUAGACUCCUAUUACAUUUAUUUUUGGGCUUUAUUGCUGAUUGAGUUUUAAGGUGGUGGUAAAGAUACUAUUAAAAAAAAAUCACAUUCAGUACAUUUCUACUACAGAACAAUCAGAUACGCUUGGUAGUGUAAACUGUUUGCAAGUGAUUUUAAUAUUCUGAAUGAAGAGUUAGACAGCUUCAUAACCGGACUCUAAAUAUGAGGAACUUUUCCCACAUAAAUAUUGGGUAAAUAUUUUAGAUGUAAAUUCUCUUGUGAC
ensembl:lncRNA